GAAAUAGGAAACCAGUGAUGUAGCAAAUAAUUGGUGAAGGGAAAUAACCUUGCCCUUUAUCUUUCCACGGGUGGUGAAUUUCCAGCGGAGAGCCGGUUGGUGGCUUCCCACAGUGAAAGUGCUGGCCGCGCUCUGCUCCCCCAGCACCUGACACAGCAGUGUGCCUGUGGAAAAUGCUCGAGGGACAGCAAAUGAACGAAGCAUUCGAAGAUGUGUUGAACCACGUUUGAACUUCUGUGUGCCUUGCUUCAUAUGCUUUCGACGGAGGUCCUCUGGAUUUAUCUUGUCUGUUACUGGCUUAUCCCCCAUAACCAGUUUGAAGCCACGGGGCAGAGUUGUGGAAUCGUGGGGAAAAGCAGCAGCUGGUGGAACCCGAGGGGGGCCGGAAACAGCCCAGACCCUGCUCUUGAGCAGACACAGUGGGGUGAAGAGGAAAACAUGCCAGCUAGUGCUCUGGAAGUAUCUGAUCCAACCUGGAAUUAGACUGAGAGUUCCUCUCCUUUCUUGCCCUUUCUAUAAUUAGGUUAUAAAUAAAUAAAAGUAUUUUUGAUACCUUAUAACAAA